AAAGAUAGUUCAGUAUGCAGUAACAGAAUGGCUACACCUGUUGCCUUUAUAAAGCAAGACCAAAUGCCUUUUGGUUGAAGGAUAAACCACAAUGCUCUCAACUUUUCUGACACAGGACUCUGCUCUAGGGAACAUUGUGAAGUUGGUCAUAGAUCUAGGAAGUGAUUCCCGAGCUCAUCUCCAGCUUCCUGGCAGGGUUUUGCUAAGCUUUCCAGGCUAUCCUGAAACUUGUGGUCCUCCUGCUUCAGCCUCUCAGGUAAGUGAGAUUACAGGCAUGUCCCACCACAGCUUUGUUUUUUCUUUCUUUCUUUUUAUUUUGAGGGGUGUGGUGUUGAGGCAGGGUCUUGCUAUAUAG
rnacentral:lncRNA from 1 species